rnacentral:rRNA from 1 species
AGAGGUCUCGAGCGUUGUUCGGAUUCAUUGGGCGUAAAGGGUGCGUAGGUGGCGCUGUAAGUCGGGUGUGAAAUCCUGAGGCUUAACCUCGGAACUGCAUUCGAUACUGCGGUGCUUGAGGACUGGAGAGGAGACUGGAAUUCAUGGUGUAGCAGUGAAAUGCGUAGAGAUCAUGAGGAAGACCAGUGGCGAAGGCGGGUCUCUGGACAGUUCCUGACACUGAGGCACGAAGGCCAGGGGAGCAAACGGGAUUAGAUACCCCGGUAGUCCUGGCAGUAAACGGUGCACGUUUGGUGUGGGAGGAUUCGACCCCUUCCGCGCCGGAGCUAACGCGUUAAACGUGCCGCCUGGGGAGUACGGUCGCAAGAUUA